UAACACAAAAAUAAACUACGAAUAAGGAACAGAAAAUGUAAAAUAAAAUUGGCAAAAUUGUUGUUCUUUCCGUUGUUGAGUGAACAUAGUUUUUUCGCUGGUGUUUCCUCAAGUGUUCAAGAAUUUAUUACAAAAUUAAAAUUUAUAUGAACCGUACCACAAAUGGACCAAGCUACCAACCAACCAACCAGCCAAUGGUACCCACCAAUGAUCAUCAGCUAAACGCCAACAUGCAGCACUACAUCAAUGUCGACGCCAAUUUGACGUUCGCCACAAAAAUAACAAAAAACAAAAAAAAAACAUAAAAGCAAAAUUUGUGGUUAAUUAGAAAUUUUUGCCUACCGUGCGUCAUCCUCCACUCACAUAUUUUCGUGACUAUUAGCAUUUCGGACUUUUCUCAAGAGGAAAAUGAAGUGUUCUGGGGAAUUGGUGGAAAAUCAAGAGGCCAUUAAGUAACACAUCAGUUGUUUAAGUGCCGUAGGCGAAUUUAUGGUUGAGGGCGGAUUGGCCCGGAUAAUUAACAAACAUUAACUUUUCGGAGUGCACUUGGGUCCUAGGGCCCUCUGUCUACGUCACUGUACGCAUUUUAAUGUGAAUAAAUCUUUUGUGUCUCGUACCAUCGCUCGUUACCGUGAUACUGGUACUGGCAGCGUAGCCCGACAUCAAGGAAAUGGACAUGAAAUAACAGCAACAUCAGCAGAAAUGGUUCGAAAAGUAAACAAGGGACUUGAUCGGAAACCGCGUCGCAGUGGCCGAAAAAUUGCUCGUGAGUUGAACAUAUCGCAAUACUCUAUUCGGCAUAUAUUGAAAAAUAAGUUCGAGGUAAAGCCAUUGUGCAAGAACUUACACCGCAACUAAAAUAAAAUAGACUCUAAAGAGCUAAAGAAUUGCUUCUCUUGGCCGAAAGUGGUGAACUGGCGAAUUUGGUUUUCUUCGAUGAGAAAACAUUCGUUGUCCAGCAGUUUGUAAACAAACAAAUUGAUCGUGUUUCUUGUCAAAGAGGUCAGCUGAAAAUGUGCAGCAUCGGUUGGCCACCAGAACUCAAGAGCCGGCCACGGUGAUGGUGUGGGCCGCCAUAACAGCCGAUUGGUUGCUCUCCGCUCGUAUUAAUCGAUCUUGGCAACAGAAUAAAUGCUGAAUAUUAUUGCGAAAAUAUUCUUGAGGGUGUAUUAUAGCGUUAGCACGCAAACAUUUUGGCCGCAGACCUUGGACAUUCCAACAGGACUCAGCAUCAUCACACUCAGCACGCGUCACCCGAGAAUGGUUACAAAAUGAGAUUCCUCGCUUCAUUUCCAGCGCACAAUGGCCACCAAAAUCUCCGUAUACCAAUCCGUUGGACUAUUGUGUCUGGAGUAUUUUGGAAAGCAAGGUUGGCACGAAAAAAAUAUCAAAGUGUCGAUCACCUCAAGCUAACGCUUCCCCGGGAAUGGGCCAAAAUACUGUAGAGCAAUAUUCGGGCAGCGUGUGACGGUUUCAUUGGCCGUUUGAGAGCCAUAAUUCGUGCCAAAGGUGACCAAUUUGAACAAAUCUAAAUUUAUUCUAAAAUUUGAUGCAA